CCCACCGUCAGCACCCAAAGCUGAAAUU
rnacentral:piRNA from 1 species